CUAAUGGUAUGCAACGAAUAGCUCAAACAAUUGUAUACAGAGAAGCAAGCCAAGCCAAGUGUGAGCGAUAAGUGAUUGUGAGACAUAUUCACACUCAUUAUUACACAAGCAAACCAUGUGAUUGUGAGAAGAUAAUAUUUUUAGUGAGAGCAAGUGUAAGUGAACAUUGGGGUGAUUCAUGAAUAUGAGAGUGUAUUCAUAAGCCAAGUAUUCACUGCAGAUCACUGAUUUCCACUUGCGAAUUUAUAAAAUUCGUUUCGCCUCAACUGUCAAAAUUUGGCGAACGUUUUUUCGACUCGAGAGUGUAAUUAAAAAUGCAGAAAACAAUAAAACGAACUACUCAGAAGCAAUUUGAGGUAAUGGUGAAGUUGCUGGAAAGAAAUCCUGAGUUAGCCAGAGGAAUGACGCCGUUUGGUUCCACAAAAAAAAAAGUGAGUGUGCUUAUGACCGCACGACUGAAGUAAAACUUCUUUCUCUCUAUCUUUAUGUAUAUAUAUGAAUGUGUGUGUGCAAUAUAUACAUGUAUGCACAUAUACAUAUAUUAAUUUCCUACAAAUAUUUAAAUUUAUUUUAUGUUUUCAUUAGUAAAUUAAUAUUUUUGCAUAGAUCUUUUAUUUUUUUUUUCAUUGUUUUAUUCGUUAUUUUCAUUAUUGGGUACAUCAGUAAUUACUGUGGUUGGUUGUAAAACCGAGACAAUAGGCUUAUGAUACGAGAAAUACGAUACAUAUAUUUUAGAAUUAAAAUUAGACAGAAAUCUAGAAAAAACGGCAUCGAUUGUUGUUCCAUGUCUUGUAGUUGGCUCAUUACGGUCAUUAUUCAUUUGUAAUUCUAAUUUAUCUCGUAGAAAGUUUAUCAAAAGUUGUCCAUUUUCGGAUGCGAAAUUGAUAUUGAAAUCUGCUAAGGUUAGUGGCAACGUAGGAUAGUUUUCUCCUAGUUCUUCAGAACCUACUCGACCAUAAAUCAUAAGUCUUCUGUAUAUAAACUUUAUGAUAUUAUUAACUGUGUUAUUGGGCGAAAUGUAAACAACUACCAUUAUGAUGUUUGUUCCAUCGUCCAAAACACAGUGAGCAGCACAUAUAUGGCGACAGAAUCUAUAACAGCGCAGACACAGAUCGGAAGUUUUAAACAAAUAUUCAGUUGCGUUGAUUACUUUGCAAGUAAUAUAAGUGCAUAUGUAUGUAAAUGUAGUGUGUGUGUGUUAAUAAUAUAAAUUCUGAUUCAAGGAAAAAGUGAGUUUUGCAGUUCUCUGAUACAUACCACGAACUGCAAAACUCACUUUUUCCUUGAAUCAGCUCAUACGCAAAAGUUUCUAUUUAAGUCCAAUCACUAAAAGGUGUUUAAAACUUCCGAUCUGUGUCUGCGCUGUUAUAGAUUCUGUCGCCAAACAACUAGUAAAGGCCAAAUAAAUAGUUUGUACAAAAUCACAGGAUGCAAUUUGGCUCGCUCGUGUUUGUUCACGCACACACAACAACACUUUAUGAUUAUUAUUUUACCAAAAUAUGUUUUUCAAUUUGCGCUAAACAUUUACCAACUAUUUAUCAAGUUACUGUGGUAACAACGCUUGCAGUAUUUGUAUUUUAAUAUUUUUGCUUUUACUCGUCACUGGCAGCCAUUUCACAAAAUCCGUUGCAUUUGCCGAAAAUUUACCUUUUUACCUUUACUCGCGCACGUCUGCCGACAAACUGUGCUCAUACAGCUUAUACGCAAAAGUUUCUAUUUAAGUCCAAUCACUGUGCGUAUGAGCUGAUUCAAGGAAAAAGUGAGUUUUGCAGUUCUCUACAAUAUAUCCCCCACC